GAUGAACGCUGGCGGCGUGCCUAAUACAUGCCAGUCGAGCGAACAGACGAGGAGCUUGCUCCUCUGACGUUAGCGGCGGACGGGUGAGUAACACGUGGAUAACCUACCUAUAAGACUGGGAUAACUUCGGGAAACCGGAGCUAAUACCGGAUAAUAUAUUGAACCGCAUGGUUCAAUAGUGAAAGACGGUUUUGCUGUCACUUAUAGAUGGAUCCGCGCCGCAUUAGCUAGUUGGUAAGGUAACGGCUUACCAAGGCGACGAUGCGUAGCCGACCUGAGAGGGUGAUCGGCCACACUGGAACUGAGACACGGUCCAGACUCCUACGGGAGGCAGCAGUAGGGAAUCUUCCGCAAUGGGCGAAAGCCUGACGGAGCAACGCCGCGUGAGUGAUGAAGGUCUUCGGAUCGUAAAACGCUGUUAUUAGGGAAGAACAAAUGUGUAAGUAACUAUGCACGUCUUGACGGUACCUAAGCAGAAAGCCACGGCUAACUACGU
rnacentral:rRNA from 1 species